CAUCAGCUCAGCUUCAACAUCAACCAUGUUCCCUGUAGCUCUGAUACUGCUGCUGGCAGCUGGAUCCUGUGUGAACAGUAUCAGCCUCAUCCAGCCAGACUCACUGGUCGCGCAGCCUGGACAGUCUUUGACCAUCACCUGUCAGGUCUCUGGUUAUUCUUUGACUGAUAACAGCUACGCAACAGGCUGGAUCAGACAGCGUGAAGGAAAACCGAUGGACUGGAUUAUACAUCGGUACGGUGGAGGAACUGUUUACCAAAAUAAUGCUCUGAAGAGCAAGUUCCUCUACCACACACGCACUUCUACAAGCUCAGUGACAUUAACAGGACAGAAUCUGCAGCCUGAAGACACAGCUGUGUAUUACUGUGUGAGAGAAAGAUCCACAGUGAUACAAACCACCAACACACCUGCACAAAUACCCAGCAGGAAGAUGCAACUCAUCUAA